CCGGGGGCGGAGGGCCAGAUCGACCCCAGCCGGAGCGGCCGAGCAGGGUCGACGGGGGCCGGGUAUGGGCGGCCAGGCGGGGUCGGAGGGACGAAAGCCGGGGUGACCCUGCGCCGCGGACCAAGCACGACCCCCUCCCUUCCCGACCUGUGCGGAGAGGAGAGAAAUGAAGGGGGACGCCCAAGGAUCCCUGGCCCCGGGAGUGGGAGUCAGCGGGUGUAAACAGAUCGCCCUUCCUUUCCGCUGGGAAUUGGGGGAAUCCCCCUGCUUUCACUCUCCCAGCCCGCCAUGGGGUUGGGCCUUGUCCUUUGCCUUGGGUCUAAAAUCCAGCCAGCUUCGGAGGCAUGGUUGAUGCGAGUUAGCAAAGAUUCUCGACUGCGGUGCUACUAAAAGCCUCUAGUGAAUGAACAAACACUUGUGUGCCUGCCCUCAAGGAGCCUGCAUUACACUUGGAGAUAUAUACAGAAACCUGUUAAGGGCCAACUUAGGUAAAUUGGGAAUAUAAAUGUAAAGAGAUUUGGAAAGCAAACCAUUGGGCGGUACAUGGGCAGGCUUUGGGGGCAGAAAGACCUUGAGCAGUGCCUUGAAGAAUGAUUUGCAUAUGAGGAGAGCAGGGAGGAUAUUUCUGUGGCGGAAAUGGGGUGAGCCCAGGACACCUGUUGGCCAUGAGGGUGUGUUCUACAUGUAGAGAAGAAAGAGAUGAACUGGGUGGAGCGGCUCCAGAUUGCAGAAGGCUGUAGAAGCCAAGCUGGCAGAUAGAAGAAUCGCUAUUAGUGUGGGAGGACAGAGUAAAUUAUAGCAGGUUCUGGACUAGAAAUAAAACCAUCUGCCCCAGACAGAGAGGAACACCCAACUUCAACUAAAUACCAGGAGUCACCGUAGGAGCCUCCUGGUUCAACAGGGCGCAGGUCUCUGACCUGUGGAGCGGGGAGACAGCAGAGGAAAUGAGAAGACUCACUCAUCACAAGAACCUUGUUUAAAAACUGUUCAGCUAAGUUCGCAUUGUGUUGUUAAAAUCUCUAGUGCACAAAAAGAGGUUAUCCCCCUUCAAGCAGUUCUCCAUGUUAGGGGCAGAGGCAGUGAUAACUGGUAAAGCAGCUUGCUGCCAAGAUCUGGCCUUGGAAGCAAGAGCCCUACUCCUUUAGUGCUACUACCAAAGUGUGUGAUCUUGAGAAGUAUCCCUAAACUACUAUAGAUUUCAGAGUCACCCUUUCUGUAAGGUGCAUCUUUAAGGACCUUUCUUAUUAUUAAUCUGUUUCUUAGAGAAAUAGUCAUCUGAUCCUUAUCAAAAAUAAUUCAAUGAUAUUUAAAUUUUUAAAAAUCGAUCCAGGCCAAGUGCAGUGCCUCACACCUGUAAUCCCAACACUAUGGGAGGCCAAGGCAGGAAGAUCACUGGAGGUCAGGAGUUCAAGACCAGCCUGGAUAACAGCAAGACCCUGACUCCACCAAAAAAAUUUUGCUGGAUGUGGUGGCAUUCAGGAGGCUGAGACAGGAGGAUCGCUUGAGCCCAGGAAUUCAAGGUUAUAGUGAGCUAUGAUGGCACCACUGUACUCCAGCCUGGGCAACAGAGCAAGACCCUGUCUCAGGAAAAAAAAAAAAAAAAAAAAAAACACCCAGACUGUAGGCCAGAUAUGAGAAUGGACGGUUUCUCAAUUUUUGCCUCUACUGAGCACUGAAUGAAUGAAUAGAGAAUAGGACGAUGGGACUGUUAAUAUUUUCAGCAUUUCCCUCUCAUUCUUUUCCUCUGGGAGAUAGUACAUACAGUGGUUAAGACAUAGGCUGUAGAAUAGACUGACUUGGGUUCAAAUUCAGCUCCAUGACUGACUUUGGAGUGUGACCUCUCUGAACCUCAGUAUCUUCAGCUAUAAAAUAGGAGUAAUUGCUACCUCACUGGGCCAGGCGUGGUGGCUCACACCUAUAAUCCCAGGACUUGGGGAGGCCGAGGCAGGUGGAUUGCUUGAGCCCAGGAGUUCAAAACCAGCCUGGGCAACAUGGCAAAACCCUGUCCCUACAAAAAAUACAAAAAAAAAAAAAUUAUCCAGACAUGGUGGAGCAUGACUGUAGUCCCAGCUACUUGGGGAGCUGAGGCGAGAGGAUUGCUUGGGCCUGGAAAGUCAAGGCUGCAGUGAGCCCUGUUUACCAUUGCACUCCAGCCCAGGUGAUAGAAAGACCCCGUCUCAAAAAAGAAAAAAAAGAACAACCUUGCUGUUAUGAGGAUUAGACAAGAGACACCAUGAUACUGGGCAUAUGGCAAUGCUCAGUGAAUAUUGGACAGCUAAUACAAUUUGCAGAGUCACUGAGGGAAAGUAUAGCUUCACAGAGCUUCUGUGUCCAGAUUUCAACGAUUUUCUUUCAUCAUUAUUUCUUGGGGCUCCCAGGACCAUAUGUGGCUUACAAACCACAGGCUAGGAUGUGUUUAACGUUAAAAGCAAGCAGUGUGUUUCUCUGAAGUGUGGCUCCACCAUGGUGUUCAGUUACACCCAGAGGAGGAGGCUGGUGGGCAGUCAUGGAAGCGCAUCUUCCAGGGCAGGCAGGAAGGGAUCAACAGCUCUUCCUGGAGACUUCCAUCCUCCUACCCCAGUUUCUGAGUACAGCAUGAAUCUAGAGGAGUUUCUCUUCUGCUUUUCCUCUUGGUUUUGUUUCCUCUAUCCCUUUUCAUUGCUAAAGUGUGUUGGAUGGUCAGGAAUGUGGGCGGAGAAGAGGGGGAGCUGGAGACAUCGCUUCCUUUCAUCCAGCUUGUGUAAAAAUGCCUCAGAACUCCCUCGUACCGCAUGCACCAUAAAUUAUAAGGUCAAGCUUUCUAAGCCUGCAGCCCUCUUGGCUUUCUGCAUGUUGGUUAGAAUGCCUAAAUAGAAAGCCCCUGUUAAUGUUGAUUGCCUCUUCUCUGUUCCAGGUUGGCAAGGCCCCCAGUGGCCAAGGCAUGAGCCUGGAUGCCCGGCAAACUGAGUACGUGUUAGGGAUGGGGGCCAUUCUUUAUAGUUUGGCUCUGGAGAGCUAGGACCACCUUUCCCAGCCUCAGGUGCACAUCCUCAGGAGCUGCCUACCUCCAGAUAUUGUAAGUCCAUGCAGAAGAGGAAGGGCCCAGCUGGGGCACCUCUUGGUUGAGGAAUGAGUAUGUGACAUUUUCAUGUGGGCACAUUUUGAUACUACUUUAAAAAUAGGCCAAGCACAAUGGCUCACACCUGUAAUUCCAGCACUUCGGGAGGCUGAGAGAGGUGGAUCACCUGAGGUCAGGAGUUCGAGAUCAGCCUGGCCAACAUGGAGAAACCCCGCCUCUACUAAAAAUACAAAAAAUUAGCUGGGUGUGGUGGCACAGGCCUGUAAUCUCAGCUACUCAGGAUGCUGAGGCAGGAGAAUCGCUUGAAUCCGGGAGGCGGAGGUUGCAGUGAGCCGAGAUCACACUACUACCCUCCAGCCUACACUCGAUAUGAUGAUGAUGAGGAGGAUGAUGGUGGUGAUUAUGAUAGAAAUGGUGAUGGUGAUGAUGACAAUGGUGAUAGUGGGGAUGGUCUCGCUCUGUCGCAAUCAAUAAAUGAAUUACAUAAACACA